GAUGAAGAACGUAGCGAAAUGCGAUAAGUAGUGUGAAUUGCAGAAUUCAGUGAAUCAUCGAAUCUUUGAACGCACAUUGCGCCCCUUGGUAUCCCGAGGGGCAUGCCUGUUCGAGCGUCAUUUCACCACUCAAGCCUGGCUUGGUGUUGGGCGACGUCCUCUUUGGGGACGCGCCUCGAAACGCUCGGCGGCGUGGCACCGGCUUUAAGCGUAGCAGAAUCUUUCGCUUUGGAAGUCGGGGCCCCGUCUGCCGGAAGAUCUGCUCGCAAGGUUGACCUCGGAUCAGGCAGGGAUACCCGCUGAACUUAAGCAUAUCAAUAAGCGGAGGA
rnacentral:misc_RNA from 1 species